rnacentral:rRNA from 1 species
GAUGAACGCUGGCGGCGUGCCUAAUACAUGCAAGUCGAGCGAACAGACGAGGAGCUUGCUCCUCUGACGUUACCGACGGACGGGUGAGUAAUACGUGGAUAACCUACCUAUAAGACUGGGAUCACUUAGGGUAACCGGAGCUCAUACUGGAUAAUAUAUUGAAUCGCAUGGUUCAAUAGUGUUAUACGGUUUUGCUGUCCUCUCUACAUGGCUCCGCGCCGCAUUAGUGAGUUCGUAAGGUAACGGCUUACCAAGGCAACGAUGCGUAGCCGACCUGGGAGGGUGAUCGGCCACACUGGAGCUGGAACGCGGUCCAGACUCCUACGUGAGGCAGCGGUAGGGAAUCUUCCGCAAUGGGCGGAAGCCUGACGGAGCAGCGCCACGUGAGUGAUGAGGGUCUUCGUAGCGUAAAACUCUGUUAUUAUGGAAGAACAAAUGUGUAAGUAACUAUGCACGUCUUGACGGUACCUAGUCAGAAAGCCACGGCUAACUACGUG